GGUUAAGCGACUAAGCGUACACGGUGGAUGCCCUGGCAGUCAGAGGCGAUGAAGGGCGUGCUAAUCUGCGAUAAGCGCCGGUAAGGUGAUAUGAACCGUUAUAACCGGCGAUUUCCGAAUGGGGAAACCCAGUGUGAUUCGUCACACUAUCAUUAACUGAAUCCAUAGGUUAAUGAGGCGAACCGGGGGAACUGAAACAUCUAAGUACCCCGAGGAAAAGAAAUCAACCGAGAUUCCCCCAGUAGCGGCGAGCGAACGGGGAGGAGCCCAGAGCCUGAAUCAGCAUGUGUGUUAGUGGAAGCGUCUGGAAAGGCGCGCGAUACAGGGUGACAGCCCCGUACACAAAAGCGCAUGUGCUGUGAGCUCGAUGAGUAGGGCGGGACACGUGGUAUCCUGUCUGAAUAUGGGGGGACCAUCCUCCAAGGCUAAAUACUCCUGACUGACCGAUAGUGAACCAGUACCGUGAGGGAAAGGCGAAAAGAACCCCGGCGAGGGGAGUGAAAAAGAACCUGAAACCGUGUACGUACAAGCAGUGGGAGCACAGGUUUACCUGUGUGACUGCGUACCUUUUGUAUAAUGGGUCAGCGACUUAUAUUCUGUAGCAAGGUUAACCGAAUAGGGGAGCCGGAGGGAAACCGAGUCUUAAUUGGGCGUUAAGUUGCAGGGUAUAGACCCGAAACCCGGUGAUCUAGCCAUGGGCAGGUUGAAGGUUGGGUAACACUAACUGGAGGACCGAACCGACUAAUGUUGAAAAAUUAGCGGAUGACCUGUGGCUGGGGGUGAAAGGCCAAUCAAACCGGGAGAUAGCUGGUUCUCCCCGAAAGCUAUUUAGGUAGCGCCUCGUGAAUUCAUCUCCGGGGGUAGAGCACUGUUUCGGCUAGGGGGCCAUCCCGGCUUACCAACCCGAUGCAAACUGCGAAUACCGGAGAAUGUUAUCACGGGAGACACACGGCGGGUGCUAACGUCCGUCGUGAAGAGGGAAACAACCCAGACCGCCAGCUAAGGUCCCAAAGUCAUGGUUAAGUGGGAAACGAUGUGGGAAGGCCCAGACAGCCAGGAUGUUGGCUUAGAAGCAGCCAUCAUUUAAAGAAAGCGUAAUAGCUCACUGGUCGAGUCGGCCUGCGCGGAAGAUGUAACGGGGCUAAACCAUGCACCGAAGCUGCGGCAGCGAACGUAUCACUUAAAGCGAUUCAGCGGGUUACGAUUGACGGAGCGAAGCGACGUCAAAGCGUAUACAAAGUCGAGUCGGUUUAAGGAUACGUUCGUUGGGUAGGGGAGCGUUCUGUAAGCCUGUGAAGGUGGCCUGUGAGGGUUGCUGGAGGUAUCAGAAGUGCGAAUGCUGACAUAAGUAACGAUAAAGCGGGUGAAAAGCCCGCUCGCCGGAAGACCAAGGGUUCCUGUCCAACGUUAAUCGGGGCAGGGUGAGUCGACCCCUAAGGCGAGGCCGAAAGGCGUAGUCGAUGGGAAACAGGUUAAUAUUCCUGUACUUGGUGUUACUGCGAAGGGGGGACGGAGAAGGCUAUGUUGGCCGGGCGACGGUUGUCCCGGUUUAAGCGUGUAGGCUGGUUUUCCAGGCAAAUCCGGAAAAUCAAGGCUGAGGCGUGAUGACGAGGCACUACGGUGCUGAAGCAACAAAUGCCCUGCUUCCAGGAAAAGCCUCUAAGCAUCAGGUAACAUCAAAUCGUACCCCAAACCGACACAGGUGGUCAGGUAGAGAAUACCAAGGCGCUUGAGAGAACUCGGGUGAAGGAACUAGGCAAAAUGGUGCCGUAACUUCGGGAGAAGGCACGCUGACACGUAGGUGAAGUGAUUUACUCACGGAGCUGAAGUCAGUCGAAGAUACCAGCUGGCUGCAACUGUUUAUUAAAAACACAGCACUGUGCAAACACGAAAGUGGACGUAUACGGUGUGACGCCUGCCCGGUGCCGGAAGGUUAAUUGAUGGGGUCAGCGCAAGCGAAGCUCCUGAUCGAAGCCCCGGUAAACGGCGGCCGUAACUAUAACGGUCCUAAGGUAGCGAAAUUCCUUGUCGGGUAAGUUCCGACCUGCACGAAUGGCGUAAUGAUGGCCAGGCUGUCUCCACCCGAGACUCAGUGAAAUUGAACUCGCUGUGAAGAUGCAGUGUACCCGCGGCAAGACGGAAAGACCCCGUGAACCUUUACUAUAGCUUGACACUGAACAUUGAGCCUUGAUGUGUAGGAUAGGUGGGAGGCUUUGAAGCGUGGACGCCAGUCUGCGUGGAGCCAACCUUGAAAUACCACCCUUUAAUGUUUGAUGUUCUAACGUGGACCCGUAAUCCGGGUUGCGGACAGUGUCUGGUGGGUAGUUUGACUGGGGCGGUCUCCUCCUAAAGAGUAACGGAGGAGCACGAAGGUUGGCUAAUCCUGGUCGGACAUCAGGAGGUUAGUGCAAUGGCAUAAGCCAGCUUGACUGCGAGCGUGACGGCGCGAGCAGGUGCGAAAGCAGGUCAUAGUGAUCCGGUGGUUCUGAAUGGAAGGGCCAUCGCUCAACGGAUAAAAGGUACUCCGGGGAUAACAGGCUGAUACCGCCCAAGAGUUCAUAUCGACGGCGGUGUUUGGCACCUCGAUGUCGGCUCAUCACAUCCUGGGGCUGAAGUAGGUCCCAAGGGUAUGGCUGUUCGCCAUUUAAAGUGGUACGCGAGCUGGGUUUAGAACGUCGUGAGACAGUUCGGUCCCUAUCUGCCGUGGGCGCUGGAGAAUUGAGGGGGGCUGCUCCUAGUACGAGAGGACCGGAGUGGACGCAUCACUGGUGUUCGGGUUGUCAUGCCAAUGGCACUGCCCGGUAGCUAAAUGCGGAAGAGAUAAGUGCUGAAAGCAUCUAAGCACGAAACUUGCCCCGAGAUGAGUUCUCCCUGAGACUUUAGGUCUCCUGAAGGAACGUUGAAGACGACGACGUUGAUAGGUCGGGUGUGUAAGCGUAGCGAUACAUUGAGCUAACCGGUACUAAUGAACCGUGAGGCUUAACCUU
rnacentral:rRNA from 1 species